rnacentral:rRNA from 1 species
UACGUAGGAGGCGAGCGUUGUCCGGAUUUACUGGGCGUAAAGCGCGCGCAGGCGGCACUUCAAGUAAGGUGUGAAAUCUCCCUGCUCAACGGGGAGGGUGCACUUUAGACUGAGGAGCUAGAGGACGGUAGAGGGGGGUGGAAUUGCUGGUGUAGCGGUGAAAUGCGUAGAGAUCCGGAAGAACACCGGUGGCGAAGGCGGCCUGCUGGGCAGUAGCUGACGCUGAUGCGCGACAGCGUGGGGAGCAAACAGG